GAUGAACGCUGGCGGCGUGCCUAAUACAUGCAAGUCGAGCGAACAGACGAGGAGCUUGCUCCUCUGACGUUAGCGGCGGACGGGUGAGUAACACGUGGAUAACCUACCUAUAAGACUGGGAUAACUUCGGGAAACCGGAGCUAAUACCGGAUAAUAUAUUGAACCGCAUGGUUCAAUAGUGAAAGACGGUUUUGCUGUCACUUAUAGAUGGAUCCGCGCCGCAUUAGCUAGUUGGUAAGGUAACGGCUUACCAAGGCAACGAUGCGUAGCCGACCUGAGAGGCGGAUCGGCCACACGGGAACGGAGACACGGUCCAGGCUCCUACGGGAGGCAGCAGUAGGGAAUCUGCCGCAAUGGGCGAAAGCCUGACGGAGCAACGCGGCGUGAGUGAUGAAGGUCUUCGGAUCGUAAAACUCUGUUAUGAGGGAAGAACAAAUGUGUAAGUAACUAUGCACGUCUUGACGGUACCUAAUCAGAAAGCCACGGCUAACUACGUG
rnacentral:rRNA from 1 species